rnacentral:rRNA from 1 species
GAUGAACGCUGGCGGCGUGCCUAAUACAUGCAAGUCGAGCGAACAGAUAAGGAGCUUGCUCCUUUGACGUUAGCGGCGGACGGGUGAGUAACACGUGGGUAACCUACCUAUAAGACUGGGAUAACUUCGGGAAACCGGAGCUAAUACCGGAUAACAUUUGGAACCGCAUGGUUCUAAAGUGAAAGAUGGUUUUGCUAUCACUUAUAGAUGGACCCGCGCCGUAUUAGCUAGUUGGUAAGGUAACGGCUUACCAAGGCAACGAUACGUAGCCGACCUGAGAGGGUGAUCGGCCACACUGGAACUGAGGCACGGUCCAGACUCCUACGGGAGGCAGCAGUAGGGAAUCUUCCGCAAUGGGCGAAAGCCUGACGGAGCAACGCCGCGUGAGUGAUGAAGGGUUUCGGCUCGUAAAACUCUGUUAUUAGGGAAGAACAAACGUGUAAGUAACUGUGCACGUCUUGACGGUACCUAAUCAGAAAGCCACGGCUAACUACGUG